GUGUAAAGGGAGCGCAGGCGGGACUGCAAGUUGGAUGUGAAAUACGGGGCUCAACCCCGGGGCUGCAUCCAAAACUGUAGUUCUUGAGUGAAGUAGAGGUAGGCGAAUUCCGAGUGUAGCGGUGAAAUGCGUAGAGAUUCGGAGGAACACCAGUGGCGAAGGCGGCUACUGGGCUUUAACUGACGCUGAGGCUCGAAAGUGUGGGGAGCAAACAGGAUUAGAUACCUGGUAGUCCACACUGUAAACGAUGAUAGCUAGGUGUGGGGGGUCUGACCCCUUCCGUGCGGAGUUAACGCAAUAAGCUAUCCACCUGGGGAGUACGGCCGCAAGGUUGAAACUCAAAGGAUUGACGGGGGCCCGCACAAGCAGUGGAUUAUGUGGUUUAAUUCGAAGCAACGCGAAGAACUUACCAGGUCUUGACAUCCAACUAACGAGAUAGAGAUAUGUUAGGUGCCCUUCGGGGAAGUUGAGACAGGUGGUGCAUGGUUGUCGUCAGCUCGUGUCGUGAGAUGUUGGGUUAAGUCCGCAACGAGCGCAACCCCUGCCAUUAGUUGCUACGCAAGAGCACUCUAAUGGGACCGCUACGACAAGGUGGAGGAAGGUGGGGACGACGUCAAAUCAUCAUGCCCCUUAUGACCUGGGCUAACACGUAAUACAAUGGCCGUUAACAACGAGAAGCAAAGCAGCGAUGCGGAGCAAAACUCCAAAACGGUCUCAGUUCGGAUUGUAGGCUGCAACCCGCCUACAUGAAGUUGGAAUUGCUAGAAUCGCGGAUCAGCAUGCCGCGGUGAAUACGUUCCCGGGCCUUGUACUCACCGCCCGUAA
rnacentral:rRNA from 1 species